CACCACCUCCGGCAUCUCCUCCCCCACCCCGUAACAAAUCUCCACCACCACCUCCCCCAUCUCCUCCCCCACCCCAUAACAAGUCUCCACCACCACCUUUUCCAUCUCCUCCUCCACCCUGCUACAAAUCCCCCCCACCACCUUCUCCAUCUCCGCCUCCACCUAGCUACAAAUCUCCACCUCCACCAUCAAGCUCAUCUCCUUGUACUUAAGACUACAAGUACCUAAGACCUCACAUCAUUUACUAAACAAAUCACAAUUUCUAUGAGAUUAUGUACCUUAUAAAUUGAUAAAAGAAUAAUUGUUGCUGAAAUACUCAGACUCUAUUAUCGAGCUUUGGAUUAUCAUUAUAACUCAAUGCCAAUUAUCAAGGCAACCGUUCAAGACAACGGAGAUAUGAUAUGCCUGGCAGCUCUUGUGCAAUAUAUAAAUGUAUUUUAUUGGCUUGAUAUAAUGAAACGAUGGUUACAUGA